rnacentral:rRNA from 1 species
AUUGAACGCUGGCGGCAUGCCUAACACAUGCAAGUCGAACGGGGCAGCAAUGCCUAGUGGCGGACGGGUGGGGAAUACGUAGGAAUCUGCCCUUAAGUGGGGGAUAACCAGGGGAAACCCUGACUAAUACCGCAUGAUCUCUUCGGAGCAAAGAGGGGGACCGCAAGGCCUCUCGCUUCUGGAUGAGCCUACGUCUGAUUAGCUAGUUGGUAGGGUAAAGGCCUACCAAGGCGACGAUCAGUAACUGGUCUGAGAGGAUGAUCAGUCACACCGGAACUGAGACACGGUCCGGACUCCUACGGGAGGCAGCAGUGGGGAAUAUUGGACAAUGGGCGCAAGCCUGAUCCAGCCAUGCCGCGUGAGUGAUGAAGGCCUUAGGGUUGUAAAGCCCUUUUGUUGGGAAAGAAAAAACUUUGGUUAACACCCAAAGUCUUGACGGUACCAGGAGAAUAAGCACCGGCUAACUCUGUGCCAGCAGCCGCCGUAACAC